GAUGAACGCUGGCGGCGUGGCUAAUACAUGCAAGUCGAGCGAACAGACGAGGAGCUUGCUCCUCUGACGUUAGCGGCGGACGGGUGAGUAACACGUGGAUAACCUACCUAUAAGACUGGGAUAACUUCGGGAAACCGGAGCUAAUACCGGAUAAUAUAUUGAACCGCAUGGUUCAAUAGUGAAAGACGGUUUUGCUGUCACUUAUAGAUGGAUCCGCGCCGCAUUAGCUAGUUGGUAAGGUAACGGCUUACCAAGGCAACGAUGCGUAGCCGACCUGAGAGGGUGAUCGGCCACACUGGAACUGAGACACGGUCCAGACUCCUACGGGAGGCAGCAGUAGGGAAUCUUCCGCAAAGGGCGAAAGCCUGACGGAGCAACGCCGCGUGAGUGAUGAAGGUCUUCGGAUCGUAAAACUCUGUUAUUAGGGAAGAACAAAUGUGUAAGUAACUAUGCACGUCUUGACGGUACCUAAUCAGAAAGCCACGGCUAACUACGUG
rnacentral:rRNA from 1 species